rnacentral:rRNA from 1 species
UACGUAGGCAGCGAGCGUUGUUCGGAAUUACUGGGCGUAAAGAGUGUGUAGGCGGUGCUCUAAGUUCGGUGUGAAAUCUCCUGGCUCAACUGGGAGGGUGCGCCGGAAACUGGAGUGCUUGAGCGUGGGAGAGGAAAGCGGAAUUCCUGGUGUAGCGGUGAAAUGCGUAGAUAUCAGGAGGAACACCUGUGGUGUAGACGGCUUUCUGGACCAUAGCUGACGCUGAGACGCGAAAGCGUGGGGAGCGAACAGG